rnacentral:rRNA from 2 species
UACGUAGGUGGCAAGCGUUGUCCGGAUUUACUGGGCGUAAAGCGUAUGCAGGCGGGAUCUUAAGUAGGAAGUGAAAGGUUGGAGCUCAACUCUAACACUGCUCCCUAUACUGGGAUUCUUGAGUGCCGGAGAGGAAGACGGAACGACACGUGUAGCGGUGAAAUGCGUUGAGAUGUGUCGGAACACCAAUGGCGAAAGCAGUCUUCUGGACGGAUACUGACGCUGAGAUACGAAAGCCAAGGUAGCAAACAGG